rfam:TPA: Bos taurus chromosome 3, whole genome shotgun sequence.
GUUUCUGUAGUGUAGUGGUUAUCACGUUCGCCUCACACGCGAAAGGUCCCCGGUUCGAAACCGGACAGAAACA